UAAAGGAGAGAUAUGUGUAAGAGAUAAAUAGUCUGUAAUGGGCUUGAGGGUGAUUCAGGGUGGGUUCUAUAAGAAGGAGCUUCCUUAAGGUGGAGGAGUGGACUGGAAGAAGAAUUGUUCAUGGAAUUUGGCUUGGGAUACAAGGAAAUUUGUGAUACCUGAUCCACCCCUUUAUUUAUCUCUGAGGGUCCCAGUGGAUGACUAACAAGAACAGGGGCUGAAAAGGACCUGCAAGGGGAGGAGCUGAAUAGCAGAGUCAUAAAUUUAGCCUGCCCCUUUGAAAAGUUGGGGAUAGGGACUCUUACCAUCCUCCGAGGUUGCUGACAAGACCAAGAAGUUUAAGUGCUCAGAACAGAACAAUUUUUCCAGAUGCUACCUAGCCCUUCAUGCAUCAGCCCUUCAUAUGAUUAUCAACCAAACUCCACAGAAAGGCAAGGGGAUGGAGAAAAAGGGAGAAGAAAAAUGCGAGAAAUUCAUUGUUUUCUCUGCAAAUGUGGACCAAUUUGAUCUUGGAGGGAUUUUCCUCGGGUAUUACUGAAAUAAUAAGUCGACAUUUGAGAGUAUUUUGCAGUCCACGAUAACCAGAAUGAUAUGAGUUCCUUGCUGAAGGUGAAGGGUGUGCUUGAAAAUGAGGCAUUAUUCAAAUGCAAUGUACUAUUUGUGUGAUGUUGUGGAAGAAAAAAAAUGCUGAGAAGGGAAAUUAGCUUUUUCCUAAAUGUUUUUACAGGAUCAUAACAUGAUGGGCCAGUCCAUGAUUUACUUAAAUUAAAGCAUGUUGUAAAGUUAUCUAGGCUGUUUUCAAAACAAUGUAGUUGAGCACCCUGUUACUACAGUUAUAUGCCGUCAUAGAGCCUGGUGUGAAAGGGGUUUGCCAUUGAACAAAUUAAAACUUCAGAGAAAGAGGCACUUGGGUUAGUCCUAACCUAGGCAAGUAUUGGGGUGAUUCU